UUCAAUAGUCCAUUAUUUCUAUGCCUCAAUAAAUACAGAAGCUUCCUAGUUUUAUCCAGUCAUCAUUGUUGCUCUGCCUUGCAGCUGCUUGCCUCUAGCACUCCUGAGAUCUUUGCAAAACCUCCAGUCAUGAGACUUGUUUACCUUCUCUUUUUUCUGGGGGUUCUUCUUUUCCACCCUGCUUCAGCGCAGAGUACAUCUUGCGAAUUGCUUGGAGGCUACUGCCGGGUUCCAGUAAAUGAAAGAUGCCCUUUCGGUCAUACGCUUCCAGGUCAUUGUGAAAUCAAUGGGAGAUGCUGCAUGUUGGUACCUACAACUUGCAAAGCAUUGGAGGGUGAAUGCGUGGUCUCAGUAAACGGAGGCUGCCCCUAUGGUGAAGAUCUUCCAGUCAAAUGUGGAUUUAAUGAAAGAUGCUGCAAAGCCUUAUAAGGCUGAAGAGUAGCCCAGAGCUACAUGUGUAUGUCCACUCCUUAAUCCUAAAUUUCUAUUGACAAAGAGGAAUCUUUGAGGAAGUUAAGCAUGGCUGCAGUUACUUUAAGGCACAGUGA